rnacentral:rRNA from 1 species
CUACCCUUGACAUGUCUGGAAUCCUGAAGAGAUUUGGGAGUGCUCGAAAGAGAGCCAGAACACAGGUGCUGCAUGGCCGUCGUCAGCUCGUGUCGUGAGAUGUUGGGUUAAGUCCCGCAACGAGCGCAACCCUUGUCAUUAGUUGCUACGAAAGGGCACUCUAAUGAGACUGCCGGUGACAAACCGGAGGAAGGUGGGGAUGACGUCAGGUCAUCAUGGCCCUUAUGGGUAGGGCUACACACGUCAUACAAUGGCCGGGACAGAGGGCUGCCAACCCGCGAGGGGGAGCUAAUCCCAGAAACCCGGUCGUAGUCCGGAUCGUAGUCUGCAACUCGACUGCGUGAAGUCGGAAUCGCUAGUAAUCGCGGAUCAGCUUGCCGCGGUGAAUACGUUCCC